UCUCCAGCCCGUCCUAUUAGAGUUAAUGAGGAAAACUCGGUGCAAGUCAGCGGUGCAGGGCCCUUUUGGAAGCUGAGCUGGCGGCAGCCGGGCCGGGCUGUGGAGCUCCCAGAGCAGACCAGAACUACAUUCCCUGGAGAGAUGCAGUACAGGAUGACCUUCCAUCAGGUUCACAAAACAAGCAGGGCAGAGGUGGCAAUGGUCUAAGAAGCUCAGCAGACCCAGAGCAUCUCUGCAGCACCCCAAAGUGAGAUGCCCUGACUAAAGCCAGCAGGAAGAACAGAAAAAUAAAGGGUGCACAUUACCAAGUAGCCCUCAGAAAAACUCAAAAUUUGACAGAUUAUGCCAGACUUCAGAGAACAGCAAAUCUUUUCAGAAGCUGGUAGGAAUUUUCAAAUUACUCCUGGGCUGGUAAGGGACUAUAAUAUGACUAUAAUACACAUGUAUACACAAGCUUACAGCAUAAUGGCUAUAAUGUUCACUACUGGAAAGCAGCCCAUGAGGAAACGCAGCUUCAAUAUAAAGCUUUUUUAGAAGUGGUUUGUGCAAAAGUUAAUAGUAAAUUUUGUGGUACAAUCACCAAAGUUGAAAGUUUUAACAUGGUACUUUGCUCACAAAAACUAACAAGACAUGUUCUUUACACAGCCAGAAUAAUUUUCCUGUUCCAAGAUUGCAAUGUUUAUCCACAUUUAAAGAAAGAAAGGCUGUAUAACUUGACAAAUAGCAGAAGUAGGAGCACUAAACCAUCAGGUCAUCUGUUAAUCCAAGAGAAACAUUUGGAUCCCUAUGACUAUAUAAUCAUGGAGGAAUAUCACAGCUGGUAUUCUCAACAAGGAAGACUUUUUUAUUAUUAAAAAAAAAAAAAAGCAAAAAAAGAAAAGCUUUCA